CAGCCUUCUGCGGCACUUGCUCACUAGCAUUAACCUUUUCAAAAGGAUCUCAAGUCUGCUCUCCCUUGCUUGGUGUCUUUCCCAAGAAGAUCACUUGAUGACUCUCUCUCAAAAAGAAGUCAAAAUUGGUAAAGACAACUAGCUAAGGAAAAGAGGCCAAGUAGCUGGAUCUACACCCUGACAAAUAUAACACUCAGUGAAACUGCUGACAAGGUGUCAGAGCACUACGCGCUUUGAAGAACCAUACUCUGGAUGCUGGAGAUUUGCCUGAAAAGGCUGCCCAUGGGUGAAGGAACCCAUCUGCAUGAACAACAGCGAGAUUCUUGGCCCAGAUUUUCCUAAGAGCUGUGGGCACUAUGCAUCACACCAGUAACUUUAAAGGUAGAGAAAAACAGAAGUGAUAUUUCC
rnacentral:lncRNA from 1 species